rnacentral:rRNA from 1 species
UACGUAGGGUGCGAGCGUUAAUCGGAAUUACUGGGCGUAAAGCGUGCGCAGGCGGUUUUGUAAGCCAGAUGUGAAAUCCCCGGGCUCAACCUGGGAAUGGCAUUUGGGACUGCAAAGCUGGAGUGCGGCAGAGGGGACUGGAAUUCCUGGUGUAGCAGUGAAAUGCGUAGAGAUCAGGAGGAAUACCGAUGGCGAAGGCAGGUCCCUGGGUUGACACUGACGCUCAUGCACGAAAGCGUGGGGAGCAAACAGG